rnacentral:rRNA from 1 species
UAGAGUUUCGGUAUCCUCGGCUCAGGAUGAACGCUGGCGGCGUGCUAACACACUGCAAGUCGAACGGAGAAGUGGAGGACGGGAAACCUUACGGGCGGAGGACUUUAUUCGAGUGGCGGACGGGUGAGUAACGCGUGGGUAACCUGCCUCAUACAGGGGAUAACAGUUGGAAACGACUGUUAAUACCGCAUAAGACCACAGCACCGCAUGGUGCAGGGGUAAAAACUCCGGUGGUAUGAGAUGGACCCGCGUUCGAUUAGCCAGUUGCGGGGUAACGGCCCACCAAAGCGACGAUCGAUAGCCGAUCUGAGAGGAUGACCGGCCACCAUUGGGACUGAGACACGGCCCAAACUCCUACGGGAGGCAGCAGUGGGGAAUAUUGCACAAUGGGGGAAACCCUGAUGCAGCGACGCCGCGUGAGUGAAGAAGUAUUUCGGUAUGUAAAGCUCUAUCAGCAGGGAAGAAAAUGACGGUACCUGAGUAAGAAGCCCCGGCUAACUACGUG